rnacentral:rRNA from 1 species
ACCUCUGCAAUAGGCGAAAGCUUGACAGGGUUACUCUGAGUGAUGCCCGCUAAGGGCAUCUUUUGGCACCUCUAAAAAUGGUGCAGAAUAAGGGGUGGCAAGUCUGGUGUCAGCCGCCGCGGUAAUACCAGCACCCCGAGUGGUCGGGACGAUUAUUGGGCCUAAAGCAUCCGUAGCUUGUUCUGCAAGUCCUCCGUUAAAUCCACCUGCUCAACAGAUGGGCCGCGGAGGAUACUACAGAGCUAGGAGGCAGGAGAGGCAAGCGGUACUCAGUGGGUAGGGGUAAAAUCCGUUGAUCCAUUGAAGACCACCAGUGGCGAAGGCGGCUUGCCAGAAUGCGCUCGACGGUGAGGGAUGAAAGCUGGGGGAGCAAACCGGAUUAGAUACCCGGGUAGUCCCAGCCGUAAACGAUGCAGACUCGGUGAUGGGUUGGCUUCGUGCUAACCCAGUGCCGCAGGGAAGCCGUUAAGUCUGCCGCCUGGGUAGUACGGUCGCAAGACAUGAAACUUAA